CAUAGCCACCUAAUGGAAAGCUCAAAGUGCCAAGUCAGAGCUACCAAAUACCUCUCCAAUAUUAAUAAUGAGGAAGGCCUUACUUCUUGUUUGCGUUUGCUUCAUCUCGUUCGCUCUUCUCUUCCUUCCUUCCACUGAAGCUCGAGCACUCCUUCAAAGAGGACCGGAAAAGGUGCCACCGUGCAGUCGAGAGAGAGGGAGAAGAUAUACACCGUGCAUACCGUCACCAACUCCGCCUCCGCGAAAAAGGUGUGAAAUUUAUAGACGUGCUUGCCCUCCGUUAGUUGGCCCUACAGAGCCAUGAGACCAGGGACCUAAAUUAAGCCGCUCAUGAUGGCCAAAUCACUUCAUAGUAUGAAGUAUAUUUCGCAGCACUGUCGUUGCGAACAAAUAAAGAAGUGCAGUGAAGAAGACAAUGAAGCAAUGUAAGAAUCGUUUAGUUUAAGAUAUUGUGUCCUUUAAGGAAAUAAAAGGAAUGGAGACGAAGCCUGUCUCUCAGGCUUCUAUCUUCUUUUCAAAUGCCAAUGUAAUAAGUAAUCAAAAUGUAUGUGCAAUGAGGUGCUUGUGCUGCAAUCAAUUAUUGUUUAAUGAACUCAUUGGAGUAUUUAAA